AUUUAACUCUUUCUUUAGGCCUAACACAUGCAAGUCGAACGGCAGCACAGUAAGAGCUUGCUCUUACGGGUGGCGAGUGGCGGACGGGUGAGGAAUACAUCGGAAUCUACUUUUUCGUGGGGGAUAACGUAGGGAAACUUACGCUAAUACCGCAUACGACCUACGGGUGAAAGCAGGGGAUCUUCGGACCUUGCGCGAUUGAAUGAGCCGAUGUCGGAUUAGCUAGUUGGCGGGGUAAAGGCCCACCAGGGCGACGAUCCGUAGCUGGUCUGAGAGGAUGAUCAGCCACACUGGAACUGAGACACGGUCCAGACUCCUACGGGAGGCAGCAGUGGGGAAUAUUGGACAAUGGGCGCAAGCCUGAUCCAGCCAUACCGCGUGGGUGAAGAAGGCCUUCGGGUUGUAAAGCCCUUUUGUUGGGAAAGAAAAGCAGCAGGUUAAUACCCCGCUGUUCUGACGGUACCCAAAGAAUAAGCACCGGCUAACUUCGUG
rnacentral:rRNA from 1 species